UACGUAGGGCGCAAGCGUUGUCCGGAAUUAUUGGGCGUAAAGGGCUCGUAGGCGGUUCGUCACGUCGGGAGUGAAAACUCGGGGCUUAACCCCGAGCCUGCUUCCGAUACGGGCAGACUAGAGGUAGGCAGGGGAGAGCGGAACUCCUGGUGUAGCGGUGAAAUGCGCAGAUAUCAGGAGGAACACCGAUGGCGAAGGCAGGUCUCUGGGCAUUAACUGACGCUGAGGAGCGAAAGCAUGGGGAGCGAACAGG
rnacentral:rRNA from 1 species